rnacentral:lncRNA from 1 species
GCCUGGUUCAUAGUUUUCAAGAAAGAUUCUUUAAAAUGAGAAAUGUUCAAAAAUUUUCCAAUUACUUGAUUUGAAUAUUUGUUGAUAGAACAUAUGUUUAGUGGCUAUCACAAAAGUUUAUCCUAAUCUUUAAAGGUCAUCUAGUAAAUGCAUGAUUUUUAAGCAUCAUAAUACAUAAAAUUUCAUAAUCCCUUGCAUCUACAUCCUCUCCCUCUCUCUCUCUCUCUCUGUGUGUGUGUGUGUGUGUGUGUCUGUGUCUAUAUACAUGACUAACCAAAGAGAAGGAAACAGAAAGAUAAUUGAAAUUCCCCUCUUCAAUUUUCCAACGGGUUUACUAAAUUGCCUGAGUGGGUCUGACCAUAGAGGAGAACUAGAACUUACCUCCCAAACCAGAUUUUCUUUUCUAUUUGUUAUUGAAUAAUUCUUUAUUGUCUCUUUGACAUGCAUUAAAGAAAGACUGCAAUAGAGCUCCACAUUCAUGAUACUCUCUCUCUCUCNNNNNNNNNNNNNNNNNNNNAUACUACUCUCUCUCUCUCUCUCUCUCUCUCUCUCUCUCUCUGAGUUUCUCUUUUAUGUUCUAAACCAACCUUAGCAUACAUGAGAGAAGCAUCUAGUCCAGGCCCAGUUUUUCUUCUUUUUUCCUUUCUGAAUUUAGUAGCUAACAUCAAACUUUCUAACUUAUAAACCAAAAUAAAUAAAUAAAUAAAACAAAACUAGUAAUUUCAGACAAAUUUCUAACAACUUUUGUCUGUUAAAAAGUUCUAUCAUGUAAAGAAGAUAAUAUGCCCAUGAAAUUAUUUUUCUUUAAAUUAAAUAAUGAAAUGUACUCCAACUACAUGUAAAUAACUACUUCUAAUGAUGCUA